rnacentral:rRNA from 1 species
AUUGAACGCUGGCGGCAGGCCUAACACACGCAAGUCGAGCGGAUGAGUGGAGCUUGCUCCAUGAUUCAGCGGCGGACGGGUGAGUAAUGCCUAGGAAUCUGCCUGGUAGUGGGGGACAACGUUUCGAAAGGAACGCUAAUACCGCAUACGUCCUACGGGAGAAAGCAGGGGACCUUCGGGCCUUGCGCUAUCAGAUGAGCCUAGGUCGGAUUAGCUAGUAGGUGAGGUAAAGGCUCACCUAGGCGACGAUCCGUAACUGGUCUGAGAGGAUGAUCAGUCACACUGGAACUGAGACACGGUCCAGACUCCUACGGGAGGCAGCAGUGGGGAAUAUUGGACAAUGGGCGAAAGCCUGAUCCAGCCAUGCCGCGUGUGUGAAGAAGGUCUUCGGAUUGUAAAGCACUUUAAGUUGGGAGGAAGGGCAGUAAGCUAAUACCUUGCUGUUUUGACGUUACCAACAGAAUAAGCACCGGCUAACUUCGUGCCAGCAGCCGCAGUAAUAC